GGCACUGUUUUGCUCUUAUAUCGUUGAUAGCGAAAUGCCAAACAUUGAGAAAUGUGAGCAUAAAAGUUUAGACCGUCUUGUCCAGUACGUGUUUACUUCAAGUGUUUUACAAAAUUCUAUUUUUACAAAAUUGGAUUCAAAUUUUGAGAAAGAUUUGAUAGCUGGACACUGCACUUCUACAUGCGAAUAAUCAGCAGUUGCAUUCUUCAAUUUUCCGUGGAGAAAAUAACUUCACCAAGCUGGAUGACUUGAAUCAAACGCAAGAAGUGAAUUUCAACUGAAAUUGAUCUCGUUAAAGUAGUUUAUGUGGUAUUAAAUAUUUCUCUAAAACUGGGUGAAAGUUAACCGGAAACAAUCAAGAUGGGGAUCAGCCAUAAAUUACAACGAACCAUGAUGAUGAUACUCUUUCUUUUAUUUGCAACAAUGACAGUCUCCCACGCUAUAAGUUGCUUUGAAUGCUCUAGCGUGGAUGACAAUUUUUGUCCCGAAGCGAUGAGCAGUGACGACGAGGACAUCGUGGAGUUGAAGGAUUGUGGAUCGUCCCUUUACGAGGCGACGUAUUGUG